CAGUCGCCGCGGUAAAACGAAGGGUGCAAGCGUUACUCGGAAUUACUGGGCGUAAAGCGUGCGUAGGUGGUGGUUUAAGUCCGUUGUGAAAGCCCUGGGCUCAACCUGGGAAUUGCAGUGGAUACUGGAUCAUUAGAGUGUGGUAGAGGAUAGUGGAAUUUCCGGUGUAGCAGUGAAAUGCGUAGAGAUCGGAAGGAACAUCUGUGGCGAAGGCGACUAUCUGGGCCAACACUGACACUGAGGCACGAAAGCGUGGGGAGCAAACAGGAUUAGAUACCCCAGUAGUCCCUGUCUCUUAUAC
rnacentral:rRNA from 1 species